rnacentral:misc_RNA from 1 species
AACGCAAAUUGCGCCCAACGCUCCGGCUAAGGGCAUGUCUGCCUCAGCGUCGGUAUAAACCAUCGCUCGCGUACACGGUGAGCGGAUAUGGCAGUCCCGGUCCGGGUCGGCCGAAUUGCAGCAGUGGUUGCCAGGACCCGCCUUCGGGCGUGGCUACUCAGUUCGGUAGGUGACCGUAGGUUGCAUGCCACUGUUGGCCAUCAUGGUCUUGCGCGGCAUACUGGCAGGAAAUGGGGGCGCCAGCCGUCCUCUCACUUCGACCUGAGGUCAGGCAAGAUUACCCGCUGAACUUAA